AGGGGUGACCAACUGUCCUGGUUUGCCUGGGACAGAGGGGUUUUCCAGGACACAU
rnacentral:miRNA from 1 species